rnacentral:rRNA from 1 species
GCUGGCGGCAGGCCUACACAUGCAAGUCGAGCGCACCUUCGGGUGAGCGGCGGAGGGUGAGUAACGCGUGGGAAUAUGCCCUUUGGUACGGAAUAGUCCUGGGAAACUGGGGGUAAUACCGUAUGCGCCCUUCGGGGGAAAGAUUUAUCGCCAAAGGAUUAGCCCGCGUUGGAUUAGGUAGUUGGUGGGGUAAUGGCCUACCAAGCCGACGAUCCAUAGCUGGUUUGAGAGGAUGAUCAGCCACACUGGGACUGAGACACGGCCCAGACUCCUACGGGAGGCAGCAGUGGGGAAUCUUAGACAAUGGGGGCAACCCUGAUCUAGCCAUGCCGCGUGAGUGAUGAAGGCCCUAGGGUUGUAAAGCUCUUUCAGCUGGGAAGAUAAUGACGGUACCAGCAGAAGAAGCCCCGGCUAACUCCGUGCCAGCAGCCGCGGUAAUACGGAGGGGGCUAGCGUUGUUCGGAAUUACUGGGCGUAAAGCGCACGUAGGCGGACCGGAAAGUUGGGGGUGAAAUC